UGCCCAAUGUGGGGCUCGAACCCACAACCCUGAGAUUAAGUCUCAUGCUCUACCAACUGAGCUAGCAGGGG
rnacentral:tRNA from 1 species